GUGUCGGGAUGGCGUAGUGGUGAGUGCAUCUGCCUAGUAAGCUGGAGACCCGGGUUCGAAUCCCGGUCCACCACA